GACGAACGCUGGCGGCGUGCUUAACACAUGCAAGUCGAACGGAAAGGCCCUGCUUUUGUGGGGUGCUCGAGUGGCGAACGGGUGAGUAACACGUGAGUAACCUGCCCUUGACUUUGGGAUAACUUCAGGAAACUGGGGCUAAUACCGGAUAGGAGCUCCUGCUGCAUGGUGGGGGUUGGAAAGUUUCGGCGGUUGGGGAUGGACUCGCGGCUUAUCAGCUUGUUGGUGGGGUAGUGGCUUACCAAGGCUUUGACGGGUAGCCGGCCUGAGAGGGUGACCGGCCACAUUGGGACUGAGAUACGGCCCAGACUCCUACGGGAGGCAGCAGUGGGGAAUAUUGCACAAGGGGCGGAAGCCUGAUGCAGCAACGCCGCGUGCGGGAUGACGGCCUUCGGGUUGUAAACCGCUUUCGCCUGUGACGAAGCGUGAGUGACGGUAAGGGGUAAAGAAGCACCGGCUAACUACGUGC
rnacentral:rRNA from 1 species